ensembl:lncRNA
CACUUUUGAAAUGCCACUGUAUUUGAAGGAGUGACUUUUGACUGCAUUGAGAGAUGGACAUGCAAUAACAGUAUCAAAAAGUAUGGGAAGAAAGUAUUAGUAAAUGCAUUAAGAAAGUCAGUAAUCAUUAUUGUUAGCAAUCCUGGUGUUUGAAAAAUGAGGUCUAAGAAGUUGCAAUAGUAAAUAAACCAGCAUGCAUACGGUAGCCAUUCAGUGAGCGUAAACCUAUGCUUGAUUCUUAGAAGAAUUGUGUCUGAUUUCCCAGGACACUCACUGCCAUAUGUAUGUUGCUUUCACUAAUGAGAUAUUUCUAAACCAUGUAAUUUUAACAUUAGAUCUCUAAGGGAUCUUAGGUCAUUCCUGACUCAGAUGGAAGAAUUGUUCCAAGGCAAGAAGGCAAAAAGAGAACAAGUGGAGUGUGUUAAAAGGGGCAAGAGUCAGUGAAGAACCAGAGUUUCCAGGUCUUCUGAGUUCACCAUGAGGAAAAUGUCAGGAAGAGAGAAAAGUGGAUGAAGGGUGCCUCUGUCAGCAUGGUCUAUGAAGGAGAUUUAAUGAUGUAGUUCUCCUACCUUUGAUUUCCUGGCAACUAACGUUAGUCAGCAUGAAUACCAUUGCUCAAAAUCAGCACUUAACUGAAGAAACCAUAUGUCCUUUGCAUCAUUAAUUUCAGAUAAGUAAAAUAAUAAUUUAUAGUUAUUUUAAAUAGUUUAAAUUAGGUAAUAUUUUGCGUUUGUAGAUAUGCUUUCAUAAAAGAAUAUAUAGAUAAUUUCUUGAGCAGGCACCUUGAGCAUGGAGUCUUAUGCAGUCCUUCCUUAUAAAAGUCUCAUAUUUUGUGGCUGUUACUCUGAUCUUAAUCUGCAUAGUAAUGUACCACAUAUCAUCUGAUUUCAGAAUCAAAGGGAUCUGCAGCUGCUUUGUAAUUGAGUAGGAAACCACUUGUUACAAGCCAGGGAGCCACUGAAUGCUUGGCAAAUACCAGAAACCACAGAAACCAGAAAAUAGAAAGGCUUUUAAGGUGACAGAUUUUCUAACUUUAGAGUUAUUCAUUUAUUUAUUUAUUUUACUUCAGAGUGUUCAACUAAUCUCUUCUUAAGGUAAUUUUUCACUGCAGGUUUGUUUUGUGAACUGGGAUGCUUACUGCCUACUUUAUGUCUAACUCCAAGAUUCAUAGUGGUACAAUGAUCCAGAACUGUUACAUCAGUUAGGUGGCAAUUUUGUGCUAACCUCUCAGGUAAAUCCUCAGGGUUAUGCUAAUUAAUAAUUUGUACAAUUGCUAAGAAGUAUGUUUAUAAAGCAGGUGAUAAAUAUGGAAAAUACCUUUGUGUGUUGUUCGGUCAAUGAGGAAGGUUUUUCAGGCAUUCUCUGGAUGUGCUAUGACACACACUUAUAAUGUUUAUAUUUCCUGCUGACUGAAAAUGUUUGAAUACACUGCAACUGUAGGCUUUAGUUUAUUUUCCAUUAUAUGUUGUGAGAAAAAGUGGCAAUAAUCAUACUUCUGUUACUGGAUAUUUUUGGUAAACAGAGUUCACACCCUGUUGCCUUUUUUUGUGGUUGUUUUAUACGUAUUAACUGAAUGGCUACUGAAAUGCCUCCUUUUUAAAAUUCUUUUAGCCUCUCCAGUGCAUAGAUAUGUUUUUCAGGAAUUAUUUUGGAAGGAGAAGAGAAAAUGUAUUUGGAAGAACUCAAAAAGUUCUUAAAGCUAGUCCCAGUCUCUGUGGACAGGGACAUCUGUAUGAUUAUUUAGUUUCCUGCAGAACAGAACGGUAGAAUUUAUCACAAAGAAAGGGAAAGUAUGUGUAGAAAUGAUAAGGACACAGGAUACAAACUUAGCUUUGUAGGAUUUCUGCUGAUUUGUGAAUGCAAGCAACCCAGGUAUAAUCAAGUUGGAAC